GAUCGCAAUGAUGUUAACUACAUGUCUCUUCUCUGAAAAAUUCUAUGAAGAGUAAUUGUUUCAGUUCUGAGUGAUC
rnacentral:snoRNA from 1 species